UACGAAGGGGGCUAGCGUUGCUCGGAAUCACUGGGCGUAAAGCGCACGUAGGCGGACUCUUAAGUCAGAGGUGAAAUCCUGGAGCUCAACUCCAGAACUGCCUUUGAUACUGAGAGCCUUGAGUUCGGGAGAGGUGAGUGGAACUGCGAGUGUAGAGGUGAAAUUCGUAGAUAUUCGCAAGAACACCAGUGGCGAAGGCGGCUCACUGGCCCGAUACUGACGCUGAGGCACGAAAGCGUGGGGAGCAAACAGG
rnacentral:rRNA from 1 species